UCCUUCUUAGCUCAGCGGUAGAGCGCGUCACUAGUAUUCGCAUUGCGCAGGCUAUGACGAGGUCAGUCGUUCAAAUCGGCUAGGAGGAA